rnacentral:rRNA from 1 species
UACGUAGGGUGCGAGCGUUGUCCGGAAUUACUGGGCGUAAAGAGCUCGUAGGUGGUUUGUCGCGUUGUCCGUGAAAACUCACAGCUCAACUGUGGGCGUGCGGGCGAUACGGGCAGACUGGAGUACUGCAGGGGAGACUGGAAUUCCUGGUGUAGCGGUGGAAUGCGCAGAUAUCAGGAGGAACACCGGUGGCGAAGGCGGGGUCUCUGGGCAGUAACUGACGCUGAGGAGCGAAAGCGUGGGUAGCGAACAGG